AAAUUUUGUAUGUCUGAUACUUGUCAAAACAUUCAGGCAGAAGUGUAUGUUGACCAAAUUGUUGAGACUGGCCAGAAUAAAAAUCCAGCUGGAAACAAAUGGCCAAAAAUUACUUUAUCCAAGUCCCUUUACAGACUGUGCUUAUCAUACAAACAUAAUCUAAGAUGGUGAGAAAGCUUCUUUGCAGGCACUGGCUAUUCCUUGAUCUCCUCAUCUCUGGAUUCUAUCUAUACUCCCACCUGCUGCUGUUUGAG
rnacentral:lncRNA from 1 species